UAAUACGGAGGGUGCGAGCGUUAAUCGGAAUUACUGGGCGUAAAGCGCAUGCAGGUGGUGGAUUAAGUCAGAUGUGAAAGCCCGGGGCUCAACCUCGGAAGGUCAUUUGAAACUGAUUCACUAGAGUACUGUAGAGGGGGGUAGAAUUUCAGGUGUAGCGGUGAAAUGCGUAGAGAUCUGAAGGAAUACCAGUGGCGAAGGCGGCCCCCUGGACAGAUACUGACACUCAGAUGCGAAAGCGUGGGGAGCAAACAGGAUUAGAUACCCUGGUAGUCCACGCCGUAAACGAUGUCUACUUGGAGGUUGUGGCCUUGAGCCGUGGCUUUCGGAGCUAACGCGUUAAGUAGACCGCCUGGGGAGUACGGUCGCAAGAUUA
rnacentral:rRNA from 1 species